rnacentral:tRNA from 1 species
AAAGAUUUAGUUUAUAAAAACAUUAAUUUGUCAAAUUAAAAAUAUUUAAUUUAUUAAAUAAUCUUUA